AGCUCCAUUAGCGUAUAUUAAAGUUGUUGCAGUUAAAAAGCUCGUAGUUGGAUUUCGGAGUGGGCCAGUUGGUCCGCCGCAAGGUGUGUUACUGACUGGUCUGCUCUUCUUCGCAAAGACUGCGUGUGCUCUUUGUUGAGUGUGCGUAGGAUUUACGACGUUUACUUUGAAAAAAUUAGAGUGUUCAAAGCAGGCUAUUGCUUGAAUACAUGAGCAUGGAAUAAUGGAAUAGGACUUUGGUCCCAUUUUGUUGGUUUCUAGGACCGAAGUAAUGAUUAAGAGGGACAAUUGGGGGCAUCCGUAUUUCGUUGUCAGAGGUGAAAUUCUUGGAUUUACGAAAGACGAACAACUGCGAAAGCAUUUGCCAAGAGUGUUUUCAUUAAUCAAGAACGAAAGUACG
rnacentral:rRNA from 1 species